UACAGAGGUCUCAAGCGUUGUUCGGAUUCAUUGGGCGUAAAGGGUGUGUAGGUGGCGCGCUAAGUCGGGUGUGAAAUUUCGGAGCUUAACUCCGAAACUGCAUUCGAUACUGGCGUGCUUGAGGACUGGAGAGGAGACUGGAAUUCAUGGUGUAGCAGUGAAAUGCGUAGAGAUCAUGAGGAAGACCAGUGGCGAAGGCGGGUCUCUGGACAGUUCCUGACACUGGAGACACGAAGGCCAGGGGAGCAAAACGGG
rnacentral:rRNA from 1 species